AUACGGACCGUGCGAACGUUGUUCGGAAUUACUGGGCGUAAAGAGCAUGUAGGCGGUCUGUUAAGUCUGGUGUGAAAGCCCGGGGCUCAACCCCGGAAGUGCAUUGGAUACUGGCAGACUCGAGUAUGGGAGAGGAAAGCGGAAUUCCGAGUGUAGGAGUGAAAUCCGUAGAUAUUCGGAGGAACACCAGUGGCGAAGGCGGCUUUCUGGACCAAUACUGACGCUGAGAUGCGAAAGCGUGGGGAGCAAACAGGAUUAGAAACCCCAGUAGUCC
rnacentral:rRNA from 1 species